GCUCGGUUAGCUCAGUUGGCUAGAGCGUCGUACUAAUAUUCGCGUUCGUGAAUACAAAGUAAUGCGAAGGUCAAGAGUUCAACCCUCUUACUGAGCA